AGAGUUUGAUCAUGGCUCAGAUUGAACGCUGGCGGCAUGCCUUACACAUGCAAGUCGGACGGCAGCGCGGGGGCAACCCUGGCGGCGAGUGGCGAACGGGUGAGUAAUACAUCGGAACGUGUCCUGGAGUGGGGGAUAGCCCGGCGAAAGCCGGAUUAAUACCGCAUACGCUCUAAGGAGGAAAGCGGGGGACCGAAAGGCCUCGCGCUCAAGGAGCGGCCGAUGGCGGAUUAGCUAGUUGGUGGGGUAAAGGCCCACCAAGGCGACGAUCCGUAGCUGGUCUGAGAGGACGACCAGCCACACUGGGACUGAGACACGGCCCAGACUCCUACGGGAGGCAGCAGUGGGGAAUUUUGGACAAUGGGCGAAAGCCUGAUCCAGCAAUGCCGCGUGUGUGAAGAAGGCCUUCGGGUUGUAAAGCACUUUUGUCCGGAAAGAAAACUUCGUCCCUAAUAUGGAUGGAGGAUGACGGUACCGGAAGAAUAAGCACCGGCUAACUACGUGCCAGCAGCCGCGGUAAUACGUAGGGUGCGAGCGUUAAUCGGAAUUACUGGGCGUAAAGCGUGCGCAGGCGGUGAUGUAAGACCGAUGUGAAAUCCCCGGGCUUAACCUGGGAACUGCAUUGGUGACUGCAUUGCUGGAGUAUGGCAGAGGGGGGUGGAAUUCCACGUGUAGCAGUGAAAUGCGUAGAGAUGUGGAGGAACACCGAUGGCGAAGGCAGCCCCCUGGGCCAAUACUGACGCUCAUGCACGAAAGCGUGGGGAGCAAACGGGAUUAGAUACCCUGGUAGUCCACGCCCUAAACGAUGUCAACUGGUUGUCGGGCCUUCAUUGGCUUGGUAACGUAGCUAACGCGUGAAGUUGACCGCCUGGGGAGUACGGUCGCAAGAUUAAAACUCAAAGGAAUUGACGGGGACCCGCACAAGCGGUGGAUGAUGUGAUUAAUUCGAUGCAACGCGAAAAACCUUACCUACCCUUGACAUGGAUGGAAUUCUGCCGAAGAGGUGGAAGUGG
rnacentral:rRNA from 1 species